rnacentral:rRNA from 1 species
GGCGAACGGGUGAGUAACACGUGGGUGAUCUGCCCUGCACUCUGGGAUAAGCCUGGGAAACUGGGUCUAAUACCGGAUAUGAGCUCCUGUCGCAUGGCGGGGGUUGGAAAGGUUUACUGGUGCAGGAUGGGCCCGCGGCCUAUCAGCUUGUUGGUGGGGUAAUGGCCUACCAAGGCGACGACGGGUAGCCGGCCUGAGAGGGCGACCGGCCACACUGGGACUGAGACACGGCCCAGACUCCUACGGGAGGCAGCAGUGGGGAAUAUUGCACAAUGGGCGAAAGCCUGAUGCAGCGACGCCGCGUGAGGGAUGACGGCCUUCGGGUUGUAAACCUCUUUCAGCAGGGACGAAGCGAGAGUGACGGUACCUGCAGAAGAAGCACCGGCCAACUACGUGCCAGCAGCCGCGGUAAUACGUAGGGUGCGAGCGUUGUCCGGAAUUACUGGGCGUAAAGAGCUCGUAGGCGGUUUGUCGCGUCGUCCGUGAAAACUUGGGGCUCAACCCCAAGCUUGCGGGCGAUACGGGCAGACUUGAGUACUGCAGGGGAGACUGGAAUUCCUGGUGUAGCGGUGAAAUGCGCAGAUAUCAGGAGGAACACCGGUGGCGAAGGCGGGUCUCUGGGCAGUAACUGACGCUGAGGA